rnacentral:rRNA from 1 species
UACGGGGGGAGCAAGCGUUGUUCGGAUUUACUGGGCGUAAAGAGCGCGUAGGCGGGCUCUUAAGUGAGAGGUGAAAUCUUCGGGCUCAACCCGAAGCGUGCCUUUCAUACUGGGAGCCUUGAGUGUGGGAGAGGCGAGUGGAAUUUCUGGUGUAGCGGUGAAAUGCGUAGAUAUCAGAAGGAACACCCAUGGCGAAGGCAGCUCGCUGGCCUACAACUGACGCUGAGGCGCGAAAGCGUGGGGAGCAAACAGG